rnacentral:rRNA from 1 species
UGUAUAUUAAAGUUGUUGCGUUUAAAACGCCCGUAGUUGAGCCUUUCCACGCGGAUGGAUUUUGGUGAGGAUUGGUAGUAGCUUUGGACUAUGUUUAGAGCUCGCCUUUUCGCACCGCUAUUCGACGUGUGGCGCACGUGUAUUGUGUGGGAGAAAUGCAAAUCCCCCACAUUGUAUUCGUGCCGUUACCACAAAGAAAUUGGAGUGUUCCAGGCAGGCCGUAGAGCCCUUGCACAGUCCAGUAUGGAAUAACAGCGGAUGACUUGUGCCCGUCUGUUGGUUUUUCGGGCAUUUAGUAAUGGUCGAUAGGGGCGGUCGGGGGCAUUAGUACUGGGGCGGGAGAGGUUAAAUUUUAUGAUCGCCUCAAGACUAUCGAAGGCGAAAGCGCUUGCCAAGGACGCUUUCGUUGAUCAAGGACGAAAGCUGGGGGAGAGAAGGAGAUCAGACACCUCCGUAUUCCCAGCCAUAAACGAUGCCGACCAGGGCCCGGGUUUGAUUCUUUUCCCGGAUCCCCCCGGGACCUCGCGGGAAAUCCGAGUAUCCAGGUUACGGGGGGAGUAUGGUUGCAAGGCAGAAACUUAAAGGAAUUGACGGAAGGGCACCACAAUUGGCGUGGAGCCUGCGGCUCAAUU